AUCUCCGAGCUGCCGCCGCCUAACGUCCCGCCUUGGGGCCAUGGGACGGCAGCCGGGGCCGGUGCCAGUGCCGGCCCCCGGGGUGGGGAGCGGAAACGCCCCCGCCUUCCCUAUUUGAAAAGGAGAGC
rnacentral:ncRNA from 1 species